rnacentral:rRNA from 1 species
CACGUAGGGCGCAAGCGUUGUCCGGAAUUACUGGGCGUAAAGAGCUCGUAGGUGGUUUGUCGCGUUGUUCGUGAAAACUCACAACUCAAUUGUGGGCGUGCGGGCGAUACGGGCAGACUGGAGUACUGCAGGGGAGAGUGGAAUUCCUGGUGUAGCGGUGAAAUGCGCAGAUAUCAGGAAGAACACCCGUGGCGAAGGCGGCUCUCUGGGACGGUACUGACGCUGAGACGCGAAAGCGUGGGGAGCGAACAGG